UCGUUUCAGCAAUCUCAGUCAAGACACGGCAAAGUAUAUAGAUAGAAAUAGAACUCCUCCGCUCAUUAACAACCCGAGGAGUACCACUUGAACUUGUAAUAUCAACACGAACUUUUCUCCAACACAAUAGGGAUUCAAUGACGGCAACCGGUUUGCUACUAGCUAAAGCUACAAGAGCUUGAAUACAUCUGUCAAAUUCAUUAUCUUCCCCCUUUUUAAGAAGGAGGAUAGCUUCUUGCUCUCCAACGUUGAAUCGUACAGGUUCAGCAUUCUUACCUUCGUUGGCAUGAUAACGAGAAAGAAAUGAUAUUUUUUGUUCAGAGAGUCGAACAAACUGGGUGAAAAGUAUGUGAAGCGCGUAAUCAACUGCCGUAUGGUCCUGCUUCUCAGAAUACAAAGGACCAUUUUCGACAGGUUGAUCGUGAGCAAUUUCAUUCAAGCUCAUUCA